rnacentral:rRNA from 1 species
UACGUAGGUGGCAAGCGUUAUCCGGAUUUAUUGGGCGUAAAGGGAACGCAGGCGGUCUUUUAAGUCUGAUGUGAAAGCCUUCGGCUUAACCGGAGUAGUGCAUCGGAAACUGGGAGACUUGAGUGCAGAAGAGGAGAGUGGAACUCCAUGUGUAGCGGUGAAAUGCGUAGAUAUAUGGAAGAACACCAGUGGCGAAAGCGGCUCUCUGGUCUGUAACUGACACUGAGGCUCGAAAGCGUGGGGAGCAAACAGG